rnacentral:rRNA from 1 species
GGGGCUAGCAUGAAUGAAUAAACAAACCUUAUCUGUCUCAUUAUAAUCAAUAAAAAUUUACCUUCAGGUGAAGAGGCCUGAAUUAAAUAAAAAGACAAGAAGACCCUAUCAAGCUUUAUCUUUCACUUAUAUAAAUAAAUAAAUAAAGAUUUAGUUGGGGCAACAAAAAAUUAUUAUUAACAUUUUUUAAUUAAAACAUAACAUCUAUAUAACAAACUUAUAAAAAACUAUAAGAAAGCUACUGUAGGGAUAACAGGCUAAUACUUUUCAAGAGCUCUUAUCAACAAAAGUGAUUGGCACCUC